rnacentral:piRNA from 1 species
UGCUGAUGUAAUACUAUUGGGUUGGGUUGU